UAGCUAACUAGCGAUCNGUCGGAAGUCAUUCCACGACUCGACAGGCAGCUACCCGCGAACCAAAGUACUUUGAUUCCGGGGGAAGGUAUGGUUGCAAAGACUGGAAACUUAAAGGAAUUAGACGGAAGGGCGACCACCAGGAGUGGAGCCUGCGGCUUAAUUUGACUCAACACGGGGAACCUCACCAGGCCCGGACACCGGAAGKAUUGACAGAUUGAGAGCUCUUUCUCGAUUUCGGGUGGGUGGUGGUGCAUGGCCGUUCUUAGUUGGUGGAGUGAUUUGUCUGGUUGAUUCCGAUAACGAACGAGACUCAGACCAAGUCUGCUACCGUA
rnacentral:rRNA from 1 species